rnacentral:rRNA from 1 species
UACGUAGGGGGCAAGCGUUGUCCGGAAUCAUUGGGCGUAAAGAGCGUGUAGGCGGUCCGGUAAGUCGGCUGUGAAAGUCCAGGGCUCAACCCUGGGAUGCCGGUCGAUACUGCCGGACUAGAGUUCGGAAGAGGCGAGUGGAAUUCCCGGUGUAGCGGUGAAAUGCGCAGAUAUCGGGAGGAACACCUAUGGCGAAGGCAGCUCGCUGGGACGUUACUGACGCUGAGACGCGAAAAGCGUGGGGGAGCAAACAGG